ensembl:lncRNA
CAGGUUUAUGUUUGUAAAUGCUCUUCCCCAUGCUCUUCCUCCAAUCGGGAUUUUUGCAAAGAGCUCAUCUGAGGAAGAGGGAAACACCCCCAGAACUUCAAAAAGGGUACACAGGCAUCCUGCAGGUAAAAAUAAGACAUAAUCAGCAUUCCCGUCUAUCCGAAGUUCCAAAUAGCUAAACAAUCCAAGCAAGUAAUUGGAUUUAUUUACUUUUCCUUCUAGAAACCUACUCUUUUGUCCUGACCAGAUUUUCUUUUUAACAACACUGGCAAUCUCUUUCAGUACGUGAAAUUUUUCCCUAGGUUAAAUCAUUGAGUGUGGGAGGGACACUCAACACUCACUGAAUCUUCAUUCUAAUUUUACUAUUAGAUAUAAACCUCAUUAAAUCUCAGCCUCAGAACUGUUUGUAAAGGAAAUGGCUUGUAAACCUUAACGAGGCAAACUGUGGGGGCUCAGUGCUAUCGUCAUUCCAAAAACUUGUAUUUUUUUCAAAGGAAGUUUUGUCUGCAUGAAGACAGGUGGGAUCUGCUCUGGAUAUUUUAAUUUCCUGCCUUGUUAAUUUCCAGCAGUAAAUUUUGAUGAGAUGGUGAUAAAUAGAUACAAUAUAAGGCUAUUUGCUUUAAGAUGGCAAUCUUUAUUUCUUUGUUUUUAUUGAAAAAUUUCUAAAUACCAACACUUAACUCCAGUGACAUUAACUGGUAUCUAUUCUAGAAAAAAGGUUUGAGGCUGUCCUCUUACGGAAGCCAUGUAAACAGUUUCUUUCUGUUCAACUGAAAGCAU